GACGUAGGGCGCGAGCGUUGUCCGGAUUUAUUGGGCGUAAAGAGCUCGUAGGCGGCUUGUUGCGUCGACUGUGAAAACCCGCGGCUUAACUGUGGGCUUGCGGUCGAUACGGGCGGGCUGGAGUUCGGUAGGGGAGACUGGAAUUCCUGGUGUAGCGGUGAAAUGCGCAGAUAUCAGGAGGAACACCGGUGGCGAAGGCGGGUCUCUGGGCCGAUACUGACGCUGAGGAGCGAAAGCGUGGGGAGCGAACAGG
rnacentral:rRNA from 1 species